GAGCGAUCAUAAGGGAGCUGACUGCAAAUCUGCCGUCAUCGACUUCAAGGUUCGACUCGAGCAAUAGUGAGAGAACGUUGCCGCAGGCAACGGUCCGAAGGGUGAGGAGCUUUAGCUCCGAAUAAUCCUUCCCCCACCACCA
rnacentral:sRNA from 1 species